rnacentral:rRNA from 1 species
CCUACGGGAGGCAGCAGUGGGGAAUAUUGCACAAUGGGGGAAACCCUGAUGCAGCGACGCCGCGUGAGUGAAGAAGUAUUUCGGUAUGUAAAGCUCUAUCAGCAGGGAAGAAAAUGACGGUACCUGACUAAGAAGCCCCGGCUAACUACGUGCCCACAGCCGCGGUAAUACGUAGGGGGCACACGUUAUCCGGAUUUACUGGGUGUAAAGGGAGCGUAGACGGUGCAGCAAGUCUGAUGUGAAGGGCCGGGGCCCAACCCCGGGACUGCAUUGGAAACUGUUGAACUGGAGUACAGGAGAGGUAAGCGGAAUUCCUAGUGUAGCGGUGAAAGGCGUAGAUAUUAGGAGGAACACCAGUGGCGAAGGCGGCUUACUGGACUGUAACUGACGUUGAGGCUCGAAAGCGUGGGGAGCAAACAGGAUUAGAUACCCUGGUAGUC